AUUGAACGCUGGCGGCAGGCCUAACACAUGCAAGUCGAACGAGUGGCGGACGGGUGAGUAAUGUCUGGGAAACUGCCCGAUGGAGGGGGAUAACUACUGGAAACGGUAGCUAAUACCGAAUACCAUAGACUGUGCCCAGAUGGGAUUAGCUAUUAGGUGGGGUAACGGCUCACCUAGGCGACGCUCCCUACCUGGUCUGAGAGGAUGACCAGCCACACUGGAACUGAGACACGGUCCAGACGCCUACGGGAGGCAGCAGUGGGGAAUAUUGCACAAUGGGCGAAAGCCUGAUGCAGCCAUGCCGCGUGUAUGAAGAAGGCCUUCGGGUGGUAAAGUACUUUCAGCGAGGAGGCGUUACUCGCAGAAGAAGCACCGGCUAACUCCGUGCCAGCCGCCGCGGUAAUAC
rnacentral:rRNA from 1 species